GGUAGCGUGUCCGAGCGGCCUAAGGAGCACGCCUCGAAAGCGUGUGAGCGUGAAAGCGUUCCAUGGGUUCAAAUCCCAUCGCUACCGCCA
rnacentral:tRNA from 1 species